rnacentral:rRNA from 1 species
GUGGGGAAUAUUGGACAAUGGGCGAAAGCCUGAUCCAGCCAUGCCGCGUGUGUGAAGAAGGUCUUCGGAUUGUAAAGCACUUUAAGUUGGGAGGAAGGGCAGUAAGUUAAUACCUUGCUGUUUUGACGUUACCGACAGAAUAAGCACCGGCUAACUUCGUGCCAGCAGCCGCGGUAAUACGAAGGGUGCAAGCGUUAAUCGGAAUUACUGGGCGUAAAGCGCGCGUAGGUGGUUUUGUAAGUUGGAGGUGACAUCCCCGGGCUCAACCGGGGAACUGCCUCCAAAACUGCAUGACUAGAGUACGGUAGAGGGUAGUGGAAUUUCCUGUGUAGCGGUGAAAUGCGUAGAUAUAGGAAGGAACACCAGUGGCGAAGGCGACUACCUGGACUGAUACUGACACUGAGGUGCGAAAGCGUGGGGAGCAAACAGGAUUAGAAACCCGAGUAGUCC